UCUGGAUAAAGUGACUGAUUUAUAUUGCAAUAUGUCAAACGCAUCCCUCCGGGCCAUCAUGCGGACUUUCGUUAUGAACCGGAGAUUUUAUAUCGCUGAAUAUAUUAACCAACAAUCCAGUUCGCAGAGUGCUCAGGACGCAAAUGGCGGCAAAGCGACGGCUCCUGCAGCCGAAAUGGAAAGAAGUUUGGCGCCUGGUUUGACCGAGACAAACGAGAGCAGUCCGGAUUCUGAAGAAUCAGUAAUUUCGCUGUCUAGAUCGGAGGAGACAAACGAGAGCAGUCCGGAUUCUGAAGAAUCAGUGAUUCCGCCGCCAUCUUCCUCUAUAACCGGAAUUGAAAAUUGUACGAGGAAUCAAAGGUUUCGUGAAAUCAAUCACGGAAAACAGUAACUAAAAUACUUACCAAGGAAACAGUUUACCAAGGAAACACAAAUACGAAAUCGAGACAAUGAUCAAAAACGACAAGCUGAAUGUGAUAUGUUCGAGGUUUCCCGAAUAUUUCCGGAGCCCAAACUCAACGAUUCCUGUGGAGAAUCUGGAUAAAGUGACUGAUUUAUAUUGCAAUAUGUCAAACGCAUCCCUCCGGGCCAUCAUGCGGACUUUCGUUAUGAACCGGAGAUUUUAUAUCGCUGAAUAUAUUAACCAACAAUCCAGUUCGCAGAGUGCUCAGGACGCAAAUGGCGGCAAAGCGACGGCUCCUGCAGCCGAAAUGGAAAGAAGUUUGGCGCCUGGUUUGACCGAGACAAACGAGAGCAGUCCGGAUUCUGAAGAAUCAGUAAUUUCGCUGUCUAGAUCGGAGGAGACAAACGAGAGCAGUCCGGAUUCUGAAGAAUCAGUGAUUCCGCCGCCAUCUUCCUCUAUAACCGGAAUUGAAAAUUGUACGAGGAAUCAAAGGUUUCGUGAAAUCAAUCACGGAAAACAGUAACUAAAAUACUUACCAAGGAAACAGUUUACCAAGGAAACACAAAUACGAAAUCGAGACAAUGAUCAAAAACGACAAGCUGAAUGUGAUAUGUUCGAGGUUUCCCGAAUAUUUCCGGAGCCCAAACUCAACGAUUCCUGUGGAGAAUCUGGAUAAAGUGACUGAUUUAUAUUGCAAUAUGUCAAACGCAUCCCUCCGGGCCAUCAUGCGGACUUUCGUUAUGAACCGGAGAUUUUAUAUCGCUGAAUAUAUUAACCAACAAUCCAGUUCGCAGAGUGCUCAGGACGCAAAUGGCGGCAAAGCGACGGCUCCUGCAGCCGAAAUGGAAAGAAGUUUGGCGCCUGGUUUGACCGAGACAAACGAGAGCAGUCCGGAUUCUGAAGAAUCAGUGAUUCCGCCGCCAUCUUCCUCUAUAACCGGAAUUGAAAAUUGUACGAGGAAUCAAAGGUUUCGUGAAAUCAAUCACGGAAAACAGUAACUAAAAUACUUACCAAGGAAACAGUUUACCAAGGAAACACAAAUACGAAAUCGAGACAAUGAUCAAAAACGACAAGCUGAAUGUGAUAUGUUCGAGGUUUCCCGAAUA